rnacentral:rRNA from 1 species
AGAGUUUGAUCAUGGCUCAGGAUGAACGCUGGCGGCGUGCCUAAGGUAUGCAAGUCGAGCGGCCCGGCUUUCGCGUUUUGAUUAAAGUAUAUAACUCUGUUACCAUGCCACAGACAGACGAUUUGAGCAAGGCGUGAUUAGUACACGAGCGGCGGACGGCUGAGUAACACGUUUGAUUGUACCCCAAAGUGAGGGAUAAGAACCGGAAACGGUGUCUAAGACCGGAAGUGAUCUUCGGAUUACAGCUUCGGCACUUUGGAAGCGGACUGCCCAUGAUUAGCUUGAUGGUGAGGUAAUGGCUCACCAGGGGGACGAUCAUUAGCUGGUCCGACAGGGUGAUCAGCCCUACCGGAACUGAGACACGGGCCUGACCCCUACCGGGGGGAACAACUAGGAAUCUUCCAAAAUGGACGAAAGUCUGAUGAAGCAACGCCGCGUGCAGGAUGAAGGCCUUCGGGUCGUAAACUGCUUUUUUCUGUGAUGAUGAUGACUCUAGAAUACCAGUAAGGAUCGGCUGAGUCCGUGCCUGCAUCCGCGGUCAUACGGGGGAUCCAAGCGUUAUCCGGAAUUACUGGGCGUAAAGAGUUGUGUAGGCGGUUAAGUAAGUAAUGUGUGAAAUGAUGAGGCUCAACCUCAUGCCCAUACAUUAAACUGCUUUGACUAGAGAAUGGAAGAGGUCGCUGGAAUUCCUGGUGUAGGGGUGAAAUCCGUAGAUAUCAGGAGGAACACCGAUGGCGUAGGCAGGCGACUGGUCCAUUUCUGACGCUGAGACACGAAAGCGUGGGGAGCGAUCGGGAUUAGAUACCCCGGUAGUCCACGCCGUAAACGAUGGAUGCUAGCUGUGCGGAGUAUCGACCCUCUGCGUAGCAAGCUAACGCGUUAAGCAUCCCG